UGGCCUUCUCCAGCACCAAAAAGCACUUACUUCAUUUCCCAUAUUUUUAACAAAAGCAGAGGAAUGAGGCACAUUGAGGGGUGGAGCUGACUGGUAUGAACCAGGACAGAGGCACAGCUGUGGAGGCCACUGUCUGCAGCAUGAGCCUCCAGGGAACCCUGAGCUCAGUCCUGCAGUUUUUAGACCAAGACACGCACGGCAUCAGUGCCCUGGCACAGGAGGGACCCGGUCCAGACCCCACGCCCGCCGCCCAACACUCAGAUCCCGGCUCACAGAGCCCGCCAUACGGGCCUGGUGAGCAGAGCCCAGAGCCGCCCAGCGGGGACUGCGGCGGGCACGGACAGCAGCCAGGGACAGAGACAGGAGGAAAAAGAGGACGAAGAGAGGAGCAGGAGGAGGAGGCGGACCUGAGCGCACGAGGAGAGGAGCAGGAGGAGGAGGAGCCGGGUCGCAGGCAGGGCGUGGUCAGCAGGUCCCUGAUGGCCACCCUGUGGGCCAGGUUCAAGCGGGGCGGCUGCCUCUCGCUGCCGGACAGCCUGGCGCUGUCCUUCCAGUUCGACGUGACCACCUGGCAGGUGCGUGCGGGGGCGCCCCGGGUGCUGCCGGCCUCCAGCCCUGCUCUCCGGUUCCUCUUCUCACCACUGCUUUUUUUUUUUCCAGAUACAUCAAUGGUUUUGUACACAGAGAAAGAAAUACAAAAAGGAAAUGUCCAGACGGAAGAGUAGCAGAAGGCUCAGGAAGUGCAGGAAGCGUUUCACAUCGACCAUUCGGAGCAGGAGGCUGGGAAGGAACUAAGGGGCCACGUCCGCUUUGGGGACGUUUUAUCCCCAGAGUUGAUGGUUCUGCCACAGGAAAAUGUUCAGUGGUGAAGACCGAAUUUGGCCUCUGCACUGAGUGACAGCACCUCCCCUUAACAAAUUUUUAUCUUUUUAUUUUUAUUUUUUUUUAAUUUGUUGCC
rnacentral:lncRNA from 1 species